GGCGCGUUAACUUAAUGGUAAAGUUUUGUAUUACGGCUACAAUGAUACAGGUUCAAGUCUUGUACGCGUCU
rnacentral:tRNA from 1 species